UACGUAGGGUGCGAGCGUUAAUCGGAAUUACUGGGCGUAAAGCGUGCGUAGACGGCUAUCUAAGUCGGGUGUGAAAGCCCCGGGCUCAACCUGGGAAUGGCAAUGGAUACUGGCAAGCUAGAGUGCGGUAGAGGGUAGUGGAAUUCCCGGUGUAGCGGUGAAAUGCGUAGAGAUCGGGAGGAACACCAGUGGCGAAGGCGGCUACCUGGACCAGCACUGACACUGAGGCACGAAAGCGUGGGGAGCAAACAGG
rnacentral:rRNA from 1 species